rnacentral:rRNA from 1 species
UACGGGGGGGGCAAGCGUUGUUCGGAAUUACUGGGCGUAAAGGGCUCGUAGGUGGCCAACUAAGUCAGACGUGAAAUCCCCAGGCUCAACUUGGGAACUGCGUCUGAUACUGGAUGGCUUGAAUUCGGGAGAGGGAUGCAGAAUUCCAGGUGUAGCGGUGAAAUGCGUAGAUAUCUGGAGGAAUACCGGUGGCGACGGCGGCAUCCUGGACCGAGAUUGACACUGAUGAGCGAAAGCCAGGGGAGCAAACGGG